rnacentral:rRNA from 2 species
UAAUUGAAGAGUUUGAUCAUGGCUCAGAUUGAACGCUGGCGGCAGGCCUAACACAUGCAAGUCGAACGGUAA